UGGGGAAUAUUGCACAAUGGGGGAAACCCUGAUGCAGCGACGCCGCGUGAACGAAGAAGGUAUUCGUAUCGUAAAGUUCUGUCCUAUGGGAAGAUAAUGACAGUACCAUAGAAGAAAGCUCCGGUUAAACACGUGCCAGCAGCCGCGGUAAUACGUAUGGAGCGAGCGUUGUUCGGAAUUAUUGGGCGGAAAGGGUACGCAGGCGGUUUAAUAAGUCGAAUGUUAAAGAUCGGGGCUCAACCCCGCAAAGCAUUGGAAACUGAUAAACUUGAGUAGUGGAGAGGAAAGUGGAAUUCCUAGUGUAGUGGUGAAAUACGUAGAUAUUAGGAGGAAUACCAGAAGCGAAGGCAAGUUUCUGGACACAAACUGACGCUGAGGUACGAAAGCGUGGGGAGCAAACAGG
rnacentral:rRNA from 1 species